AGUGAACGCUGGCGGUAGGCCUAACACAUGCCAGUCGAACGGCAGCACAGUAAGAGCUUGCUCUUACGGGUGGCGAGUGGCGGACGGGUGAGGAAUACAUCGGAAUCUACUUUUUCGUGGGGGAUAACGUAGGGAAACUUACGCUAAUACCGCAUACGACCUACGGGUGAAAGCAGGGGAUCUUCGGACCUUGCGCGAUUGAAUGAGCCGAUGUCGGAUUAGCUAGUUGGCGGGGUAAAGGCCCACCAAGGCGACGAUCCGUAGCUGGUCUGAGAGGAUGAUCAGCCACACUGGAACUGAGACACGGUCCAGACUCCUACGGGAGGCAGCAGUGGGGAAUAUUGGACAAUGGGCGCAAGCCUGAUCCAGCCAUACCGCGUGGGUGAAGAAGGCCUUCGGGUUGUAAAGCCCUUUUGUUGGGAAAGAAAAGCAGCAGGUUAAUACCCCGCUGUUCGGACGGUACCCAAAGAAUAAGCACCGGCUAACUUCGUG
rnacentral:rRNA from 1 species